rnacentral:rRNA from 1 species
CAGUCGCCGCGGGAAUACGAAGGGGGCUAGCGUUGCUCGGAAUGACUGGGCGUAAAGGGCGCGUAGGCGGUUUUGACAGUCAGAUGUGAAAUUCCUGGGCUUAACCUGGGGGCUGCAUUUGAGACGUCAAGACUAGAGUGUGAGAGAGGGUUGUGGAAUUCCCGGUGUAGCAGUGAAAUGCGUAGAGAUCGGAAGGAACAUCUGUGGCGAAGGCGGCAACCUGGCUCAUUACUGACGCUGAGGCGCGAAAGCGUGGGGAGCAAACAGGAUUAGAUACCCCUGUAGUCCCUGUCUCUUAUAC